rnacentral:tRNA from 1 species
GGGCGUGUAGCUCAAUUGGGAGAGCGCUAGCAUCGCAAGCUAGAGGCAGCGGGUUCGAAUCCCGCCACGUCCACCA